rnacentral:rRNA from 1 species
UGUGUGUUAGUGGAAGCGUCUGGAAAGGCGCGCGAUACAGGGUGACAGCCCCGUACACAAAAAUGCACAUGCUGUGAGCUCGAUGAGUAGGGCGGGACACGUGGUAUCCUGUCUGAAUAUGGGGGGACCAUCCUCCAAGGCUAAAUACUCCUGACUGACCGAUAGUGAACCAGUACCGUGAGGGAAAGGCGAAAAGAACCCCGGCGAGGGGAGUGAAAAAGAACCUGAAACCGUGUACGUACAAGCAGUGGGAGCACGCUUAGGCGUGUGACUGCGUACCUUUUGUAUAAUGGGUCAGCGACUUAUAUUCUGUAGCAAGGUUAACCGAAUAGGGGAGCCGAAGGGAAACCGAGUCUUAACUGGGCGUUAAGUUGCAGGGUAUAGACCCGAAACCCGGUGAUCUAGCCAUGGGCAGGUUGAAGGUUGGGUAACACUAACUGGAGGACCGAACCGACUAAUGUUGAAAAAUUAGCGGAUGACUUGUGGCUGGGGGUGAAAGGCCAAUCAAACCGGGAGAUAGCUGGUUCUCCCCGAAAGCUAUUUAGGUAGCGCCUCGUGAAUUCAUCUCCGGGGGUAGAGCACUGUUUCGGCAAGGGGGUCAUCCCGACUUACCAACCCGAUGCAAACUGCGAAUACCGGAGAAUGUUAUCACGGGAGACACACGGCGGGUGCUAACGUCCGUCGUGAAGAGGGAAACAACCCAGACCGCCAGCUAAGGUCCCAAAGUCAUGGUUAAGUGGGAAACGAUGUGGGAAGGCCCAGACAGCCAGGAUGUUGGCUUAGAAGCAGCCAUCAUUUAAAGAAAGCGUAAUAGCUCACUGGUCGAGUCGGCCUGCGCGGAAGAUGUAACGGGGCUAAACCAUGCACCGAAGCUGCGGCAGCGACGCUGAUGCGUUGUUGGGUAGGGGAGCGUUCUGUAAGCCUGCGAAGGUGUGCUGUGAGGCAUGCUGGAGGUAUCAGAAGUGCGAAUGCUGACAUAAGUAACGAUAAAGCGGGUGAAAAGCCCGCUCGCCGGAAGACCAAGGGUUCCUGUCCAACGUUAAUCGGGGCAGGGUGAGUCGACCCCUAAGGCGAGGCCGAAAGGCGUAGUCGAUGGGAAACAGGUUAAUAUUCCUGUACUUGGUGUUACUGCGAAGGGGGGACGGAGAAGGCUAUGUUGGCCGGGCGACGGUUGUCCCGGUUUAAGCGUGUAGGCUGGUUUUCCAGGCAAAUCCGGAAAAUCAAGGCUGAGGCGUGAUGACGAGGCACUACGGUGCUGAAGCAACAAAUGCCCUGCUUCCAGGAAAAGCCUCUAAGCAUCAGGUAACAUCAAAUCGUACCCCAAACCGACACAGGUGGUCAGGUAGAGAAUACCAAGGCGCUUGAGAGAACUCGGGUGAAGGAACUAGGCAAAAUGGUGCCGUAACUUCGGGAGAAGGCACGCUGAUAUGUAGGUGAAGUCCCUUGCGGAUGGAGCUGAAAUCAGUCGAAGAUACCAGCUGGCUGCAACUGUUUAUUAAAAACACAGCACUGUGCAAACACGAAAGUGGACGUAUACGGUGUGACGCCUGCCCGGUGCCGGAAGGUUAAUUGAUGGGGUCAGCGCAAGCGAAGCUCUUGAUCGAAGCCCCGGUAAACGGCGGCCGUAACUAUAACGGUCCUAAGGUAGCGAAAUUCCUUGUCGGGUAAGUUCCGACCUGCACGAAUGGCGUAAUGAUGGCCAGGCUGUCUCCACCCGAGACUCAGUGAAAUUGAACUCGCUGUGAAGAUGCAGUGUACCCGCGGCAAGACGGAAAGACCCCGUGAACCUUUACUAUAGCUUGACACUGAACAUUGAGCCUUGAUGUGUAGGAUAGGUGGGAGGCUUUGAAGUGUGGACGCCAGUCUGCAUGGAGCCGACCUUGAAAUACCACCCUUUAAUGUUUGAUGUUCUAACGUUGACCCGUAAUCCGGGUUGCGGACAGUGUCUGGUGGGUAGUUUGACUGGGGCGGUCUCCUCCUAAAGAGUAACGGAGGAGCACGAAGGUUGGCUAAUCCUGGUCGGACAUCAGGAGGUUAGUGCAAUGGCAUAAGCCAGCUUGACUGCGAGCGUGACGGCGCGAGCAGGUGCGAAAGCAGGUCAUAGUGAUCCGGUGGUUCUGAAUGGAAGGGCCAUCGCUCAACGGAUAAAAGGUACUCCGGGGAUAACAGGCUGAUACCGCCCAAGAGUUCAUAUCGACGGCGGUGUUUGGCACCUCGAUGUCGGCUCAUCACAUCCUGGGGCUGAAGUAGGUCCCAAGGGUAUGGCUGUUCGCCAUUUAAAGUGGUACGCGAGCUGGGUUUAGAACGUCGUGAGACAGUUCGGUCCCUAUCUGCCGUGGGCGCUGGAGAACUGAGGGGGGCUGCUCCUAGUACGAGAGGACCGGAGUGGACGCAUCACUGGUGUUCGGGUUGUCAUGCCAAUGGCACUGCCCGGUAGCUAAAUGCGGAAGAGAUAAGUGCUGAAAGCAUCUAAGCACGAAACUUGCCCCGAGAUGAGUUCUCCCUGACUCCUUGAGAGUCCUGAAGGAACGUUGAAGACGACGACGUUGAUAGGCCGGGUGUGUAAGCGCAGCGAUGCGUUGAGCUAACCGGUACUAAUGAACCGUGAGGCUUAACCUUACAACGCCGAAGGUGUUU